CAAAUAAAUUGCAAUGGUAGAUUACUUACAUAUUUUUGUUGCGUUUUGUCUGUUUGCAUAUGAGGAACGUAUGUUGUGCUUGCUUCACCCACUGUCAUAACGUAAUUAAAUAAUUGAAGUUUACCCCAAGAACUUUGCUUUGUUUCUUAAAGAUGCUGUUUUCUCUGGCUUAUGUGGCUAGCAACUGUUGCUUCAUGAAUCACUAGAUGUAGCUGUCUCUAUUUCAUCAAGUGCAGAUUGCCUUCUACACACUUCCCCAAAAGAAGUGGAGUCUGGGCAGAUAAAUACUACCAUGGAUUUCCACCAGCACAUGCCUCCAUCUAACCCCACUCUCUGCCUAGAUCCCUAAUACAGAGCUCUUUAUCUGCACCAAUAUUAAUUCCAAAGAUGGGAGCACUGCUUAAGAUAGGUAAAGAUUGUCCAGAACUUCUAGCCUCUGAAUCUUCCAAGUGGGCUAUAUGAAACACAUAGAAAGUAUAUAACAAAAUAAUACAGAAUAAUAAAGCAGCAAUAAAGUAAAUUAGAGUAAGGGUGAGUUCGGCUCAAAGAGAGAAGCAAAGAGACUAUAAAACAGGAGGGAAAGAAUGAAGGUCACCUGUUUUCUAUCAGAAAUCUAAUUUAGAGCUCCAAAUCCACUCCCACUAGGACAGAAAGAUGUAUGUGACACAUGAGGAAAUGAACUCUCCAGGAUGUGCCUUGGGAGUGCUCUAGGACAGAGGCAUUUUGGAAAGAGGUGAUAAUGGUCUUAAAGGGCAGUGAUGAGAUUGUGGAACUCCUGUGUGUGGGUUCUGGAAAAAAAAAAAAAAAAAAAAAAAAAAAAAAAAAAAUUUGAAAAACCCCCCAAAAAAAAAAAAUUCUGGAAAAUAUGAGCAGUUGAGCUAAUUGUAGACACUCAGAAAAUGGAAAGACAGGGUUUUUUUUGUUACAAGAGCUUUUGUAAUCUGGUUUCUGUUCAAGGCAUAAGGAAAAAUGUCUUCAUUUCUGUCCUUUUGUUAUGUGCACUCUUUGCAGUCAUGACCUGUAAACCUAAAAUAAAGGAAAUCAAGAAUGGCUAAACCCCUAAAUAUUCCACCACACUGCUUAUCAGUCUUUAGGAGGGGACCUGCUAUUAUGUAUGGCCCUGUAAUGCUAUUUCCAUAUUUACUCAUUCAUCAGAGUUUAGGAAAUACUUGUAUAUCUAACAGACAGAUAUAGCAGCCACUAAACUUAAGUUGCAACUUCUGACUAUAUCAAUAUAUAUUAUAUAAAUGAUGGGGAAAUUGUAAAAAGUUAGUUUUGGAGUCCUUUAUCAACUCCAGUGAACCCAUGAUAGACAACUUUCCUUUUGCUGCUGACUUCUAUAUGUUUCUUGGUGUUACCUCGUUGAAGUUAUAUCAUUUGCCUUAUUGGAAGCAUGGCCAGUUCUCAGCCAAACUAUGUACCAAUCAAAUUCCCUCUGAAAUCCACAUUUCUUACUCUAAUACUAUUCAUUGUCUUGCCGUAACAGCUCUGUGAAAGUGGUGUUGACUGAUAGGUUUUCAAAGAUAUUUCUUUAUCAGAAUCAAUUGUUGGAGUCCCUUCUUUGUUUCAUGUUCUGUUUCAAGGACUCAAAGAAAAUCCUUGAAGACUUUGACCCUGCUGUGAAGUAUCUCCAGACUGUUGAUCACUAAGGUCUGCAGCAAGGCCCAUCUCUGUGCCAAGGUUUCUGAAAAAAAAAUAGACAAAGAUAGAGUGUUUAAAUUAAAAUGAGAAACUUGUGUGCCUAUGGCCUGCAGUUGGUUUCUUUCUGCAGUGUUCAGUGAUUUCCAAUUAUCUUUGUUGCAGGAUUGCUGCCGUUGAUUAUUAUGCCAGUUUUGUCUAAAGAGUUGAUCUGGCUAUGUGUUGUCCUUGCUAUUUAGUGAAUCUUAAUGACAUCCUAAGCUGUCUCUUGUCUUAUACCCCAUUUGUAUUUGCUGCUUAAUGCUGGCAAACAUGAUAUGGAAAGUAAGAGACCCGAAGUCCUGAUGAGCUAUUCAAGGAGGCGAGGGAAACCUUGUGCAAACAGUUUUCUUAGGUUGAUGUAGCAGCUCUCCAUAAUCUCCAAGGUCUCUCAGGUCAUUCUGUCCUCUGGAAUCCUUCUUGACGUGAGCUGUUUUGUUCCAUAAUGGACUUCAACUCAGUCUCAGAAGCAACAGGGAGGAGGCUCUAGGAGGUACAACAGUGUUGUUGUUGAAAUCUGCCUCCCAGAGUCUUGCCUGUUUUAUCUGUCCAGAAGGAUCCAUCAGUCGCAAACUAUUUGGCUCUUCCACUAACUGUAGCUUUUCUGUGCUCUAGCGGUUCCAAGGAGGCUUAGUAAAAGCACUGAAAAUUACUGAAAAGUCCAGGAGAAAUCUACAGCACUGCGUCUUCAGUUGAUUUUUUAAAUCACAUUAAAAAACUAAAGUUCACUCCACAGUAGAUCUGAAUUGGUGCACAGGCUAUAUCCAUUUCUAUCUUUUCCUUGGUCUAAGCCAACAAUUAAUCAUGGCACAAGAGGUAAAUGAGUGGAGGAUGUCAGUGUAAACUGUACUGGUGGAUUGGUAAACAUUGCUGGUAUUGUUGCAAAUAACCAACACAAGUGUAAGGAAUGGAAGUUUAGCUUUGGGCCUGUAUGUUUACCAUUAUGACUUUAAACUGUUUAUAAGAAAAAGAGUACUUUAAAUGUUCCUGAGAAGAUGGGCAAAACCACAUGGCUACUAAGGGUUUAAGUGAGAUAAAGUGUUUGCCUUAAAAUUCAGAGAAACGUGGUCACUUUGCAGCCGUGGUUUGUCAUUUAAAACAUUGAUGUUGAUGUUGUGCUGUGACGCCAGCUUAAAACAUUUAUGGUAACUACAGAAAUGAGGUGUAUAGGAAGCUGUGAGGCAACAUCUGGAGACUCUGCCUUAUCACCGUGUCUUCAAACAGAACUAAUUCAAAAUUGUCCAUGUGAAAUAACAAUGCAAAAAACCCUGUUCUUACUUUUUUAUUGGAGUCAAAAAUGUGCAGACUUAAAUGGUUUUCAAUAAUGGUUCAGGAUGUGUGGCUGUAGGUGAUCAAUAAAACAUUGAUUGGGGUUUUCUACUUCCCAGGCCACUAGCUAAAAGCUUGGGAGACCUAGGUUCUGUUCCCUGGAGGGCUGCAAAUUGGACGUCUCACCUCCCGUCAGUCUGCCUGGAGGCCUGAUCUGUCAGUGCUGGGGAGCUUGCAGUCUGUGGCGCAAAUCCUCCCUCUGUGUGGGAGGGGUCACCACCAUCAAGGAAUUUUCUCCAAGACAAUGGCGAAAUGUUCUUGUUUGAGGUUGUUUUCCCUGCUAUUACAGUUGUUUCACCAUUUGGAAAAAAUUAGAAACUAAGUGGAAGAGAGAGCAGCUCUCUAACUGGGUCAUAUGGUGCUGGGAUGGGACAGCGAAGCCCUUGGUUCCAGCCGCUGUUCCAAGGUCUUUUUAAACAUCCUGUGAGGUUUGGCGCCCAGACUCAGGAUUUGUAAACAUAUGACAUUGGCAAGUAAGAAACUGAGCUAUUGCUGCCAGUACAGGUGGUGAAGGAUGUCAGAUGGAGGAAGUCCAUCACCUUGGUGAAAGGGCUCCCUGCAGCUCUGGCCAAACUCCAUUCGGCAGCAGUUCAUUGUAACCCAGUGUUACCCAGGGAGAUGACACCUAUGGACCAUCCAGUUAUUUCCCCUAUUAGCAUCCAUAGUUAACUUUUGUUUUUUUAGGGUGGUACCAAGAAGACUGCCUGACCAUGGUGGACACUGAACAGUACUGGGCUGAAAACAAUGGUAUUGAGGAAUCUUUGAUUCAAAUAGGAAGGACAAUGUAUGGAGAAAAAAUAAAAUAAAAAAAAAAAAUCAUGAUCCAAUGCCUUUGGUUUUGCCCUUUAAAGAUAUCUUCUCUAUGUUAUUUCUGUGG